rnacentral:piRNA from 1 species
UAUAAACUUAAAUAUAUACUUUAAUGUGCUC